rnacentral:rRNA from 1 species
CGAAAGCCUGACGGAGCAAGACCGCGUGGGGGAAGAAGGCUCUUGGGUUGUAAACCCCUUUUCUCUGGGAAGAAAGUUGUGAAAGCAACCUGACGGUACCAGAGGAAUCAGCAUCGGCUAACUCCGUGCCAGCAGCCGCGGUAAGACGGAGGAUGCAAGCGUUAUCCGGAAUGAUUGGGCGUAAAGCGUCUGCAGGUGGCAGUUCAAGUCUGCUGUCAAAGACCGGGGCUUAACUUCGGAAAGGCAGUGGAAACUGAACAGCUAGAGUAUGGUAGGGGCAGAGGGAAUUCCUGGUGUAGCGGUGAAAUGCGUAGAGAUCAGGAAGAACAUCGGUGGCGAAGGCGCUCUGCUGGACCAUAACUGACACUCAGGGACGAAAGCUAGGGGAGCG